ensembl:snoRNA SNORA70 Small nucleolar RNA SNORA70
CUGCCGCCAAUUAAGAUUACCAGGUUCCUUUCCUCGUGGGGCCUGGGGUGCAGGGUCUGUGGACAGCAGCCUCCUUGGUAGUGCAGUACCUGUUGCUUGGUCAGGUGGCCCUAAGGACCUUGGAGACAGUU